UCUGAGGCGGGUCCUGCUGUCUAGCUGAGUCACAGGAAACAGUCCUCACUGCAAGGUCGUAUACAGGUUUAAGUGCCAGAGGGGGCUUUGAAGAAUCCGGAACCAGGAACGGUCCCUUGAGUUAGGCCUGACCCAGGCUGAAGUCACCGCGGCAAGAGCCCUGAGCGGGAAUCGAGAGCCUUGUGUUCAGCGCUGCCCGCGGGGUGCAGUCCCGGGCAGAGACCGGCGAGGGCUCCCUCCCCAGGGAAGCGGCGACGCCGGCGGGAGGCCCCGGGCGGCCUCGGAGGGCGCGCGGGCGAUGGGCUCGCGGGGCGGGGGGCUGCGAGCGUUGCCUCGGCCGAGACCCCGCCCCGCCCCCGCCUCCCGCAGCGGGCGUGUGCGGCCGAGCGGCGCAGCGCGGUCCCUGCGGCCCGGAUCCCGACGCGAAGAAACAGCUGUCAGAGAACCAGGACUAGCCCUGCAGUCUGGAGCAGGGUGACCCCAUCAGGAACCUACAGGCCUCUAGGAGUCCUCAACUCCCUAUCAGCAUGGAGUUUGCACUUGAUGCGGAAAGGCGUGUGAUGGACCCUCUCUGACCCCUGAGCUGUGACCCCAUGGCCAUAGGGCUCUGUGGCUCCAUGUCCCCCCUUCCAGGACCCCUCCCCUGGCCCCAGAACUGCUUGACCCCUGUGGCCUCAUGACCCCUGUCCUUCCUCGCCACCUUGCUGGACUCUGACCCCAGGGACUGUUUUUCCCAUCCCUCCUGUGCCUCUGGUCCUGGCUCCCGGUGGGGGGCUUGCGGGUCUGGACCUCCCCAGGAAGAUGUGGGGGAGGCUCUGGCCCCCUCCUCCUAGGCUUCUUCGCUGCAGCAGCCCCUGGGCCCUCCCUGCGGAGACCGUCCCCGCGAGCUGGACGCCACCCCACGGAUGACCAUCCCUACUACGAAG
rnacentral:lncRNA from 1 species